ensembl:snRNA U6 U6 spliceosomal RNA
GUGCUUGCUACGGCUGCACAUAUACUAAAAUUGGAUCGAUACAGAGAAGAUUAGCAUGGCCCCUGCGAAAGGAUGACACGCAAAUCUGUGAAGCGUUCCAUAUUUUG